UGUGGACGAACUUUAUCUCUUAACUUCCGAACUUAAAGAAAAAAUAAAUAUAGCGAUAUCAAACCUUUACAAAGAUUUCAAAAGAACUGUUACUUUUAAUAUCGUGUUGCAUUCUAUAAGGAAUGAUGAUUCAUAACUUUGCAGUAUGAAAGAAUUGCAUGACUGGUUAGCAGAUAAAAAUUUGACGAUUGGAAUGAAAACUUAACGUGUUGAAAUUUUGAAUUGUUACUUAAUAAACUUUUUUUAUGAUUUAUAUAUUUUUG
rnacentral:lncRNA from 1 species